UACGGGGGGGGUAAGCGUUGUUCGGAAUUACUGGGCGUAAAGGGCUCGUGGGCGGCCAACUAAGUCAGACGUGAAAUCCCUCAGCUUAACUGGGGAACUGCGUCUGAUACUGGAUGGCUUGGAUUCGGGAGAGGAAUGCGGAAUUCCAGGUGUAGCGGUGAAAUGCGUAGAUAUCUGGAGGAACACCGGUGGCGAAGGCGGCAUUCUGGACCGAUAUUGACGCUGAGGAGCGAAAGCCAGGGGAGCAAACGGG
rnacentral:rRNA from 1 species